ACGUUAAUACUUUAUUAAAAAGGUUACAUUAAAUUAAAAAGUAGUAAUAUGAAAGUGCUGUCAUUUCUUUGUUGUUAAAAUUAUUUAUUUAUGUUUAAAAAUGUCAUAUGGUUAUCAAAGAGAAACUAAGGGUUAAAAAAGACACCAUAGGUAAAUAGGGUACAUUUUAGGGUACUAAUAGAUAUCAUUAUGCUUCCCCAGUUAAUUAACAUUAGAACAUUAAAUUUUGUAUUACAAGGUUUCUGAAAUUUAAUGUUUAAAUGUGCAAGUGAGGCAUUAUUUGAAAUGUAUUAUGUAUUAUUGUGUAUGUAUGGAUAAAUGUAUUAUUGUGUAUGUAUGGGUUUGGUGCACACAUGGAGAAAAGGUACCCCAUGCCCACGGUUAAAAAUGUAUUAAUUUCCAAAAUAGAAAUCUGAACAUUGUAUAAAACCAGAUUCAAAAUUCUUGUUUCAUUUUGUUACAUUAGGGUUAAAGGAUUUUACAGAAGAGGGUUUUGGAUAGAUCUUUUUAUCACUUUUUAUCACAGGUCCAAUGUUAUAUAAAUCAGCUUAAUUAUAUAUGAAUAAACCCCUCUGAUAAUAGAUAGGAAUGAAACUGCAACAUUUGGUGUGUGUAUGUAUGUACUACUUUCUGCUCACUGCAUGAGAAAAAAAAAAACGGCCUUUACUGUAAUUGAAAUCUAAGGACACAAAUAUAAAUUGUAGUCUGAAAGAAGCAGCAAAAUAGCCUAAAAUCUCAAAAUUGACCGGUGCAUGAAAAAAACAAUGGUUUUGCCUGUAGUGUCUUAUCUUAAAAAAGGGUUAAUGACAACACACCCUAAAAAUGAGCUCUGCCAUCCCAGCAUUCACCCAAACAAUGGUGAUCGCAAAGUCACAGUCUGCAUUUUGAUGUAUAAUGAAUAGAAUUUUUUGGUUUUCAUGUAUGAAGGAGAGUCACUUUUGGUCAACGUCCCUAUCAGAUGAUAAAUUAUUAUCUACUGCAGUUGACUCACUUUUAAAGCGCAUUUCUGAUAUGCAAUAGUUUUGGUAAAUGUCUGAUAUUAUUUUUGGCAGAAUUAUAUAUUAUUAGAUUGCAAGAUGAGUUGUCUGAUCAAAUCGUGCAUCCACAGGUUGGAGUGGCAGUAUAACUGCUGGCAGGUCGGAAGAGGAAUACUCUUGUCCAGAGACGGGUAGGUGAGAAUAUAAAUCAUCUAAUACACUAAAUCAGCAUCUAAUACACUAAAGCAAACUUUUCAUUUGAGUUGUGUUUUCUGGCAGGUGUAAUGUUAUCAAAUAAAGUCUCAUUCCAAUCACUGUAAUUUCAGGAGACAGAACUUGCAUUAGCCAACUAAUUUUAUUGAUGUCAUUACUCUAUGUUUAUCUAGCACCUUCAACAACUUUUUAGCUCCAUUUUCUGAUUUAAUGCUGCCUGAGCUCAAUAACACUGUUAAUCCUGGACACACCCUUGCUCCAUUCCCAGAGCACAAUAGCUGUGAUGAGCACAGGCACUACCCACUGCACCACAGCUGCACCCACCCUCUUGAUGAUCUAACUGACGGUGAUUACACUCAAGUUGUGAGUUUCAUUUCAGAUUUGUACAUUUCUACUGCAGCUCUCCAUUUGUGCCAGUUUAUUCUCUGACCAGUAGAGGGCACAUUCUUAAAAAGAGGUGCACUGGGGAAAUCCUUAGACUUUCCUUGAAGACUUCUGAGGAGGCAAAUUUUGUGCAAAUGGAAAGACUCUUCACCUCCUACAUACAGACACUGGAUUAAAGAUGUCAUGUACAACAUACAAUUGGAAAAGCACCGAUGCUCUAUGAAACGGUCACAUAAGAGAUUCUCUACCAACCUUUUUUAGCAACCUUUUCAGACCUUUGCGGAGAACACUACUACAAAAUUGUUCUGAAUGUACAUGUUUAUGUAUUAUUAAUAUUACUUUUCUCUUUUAUUUUUUUAAUGGUCUGACUGUUAGACGGGGUUGAGGUGGGGGUUCCUUUAUUUUCUCUUCUGAAAUUGGUGGGGUGUUCUGUUUUGUUAUGAAUAUUUUUUUCUUUCAAUAAUAAAAAAAAAAAACCUUGAAUAAAAAAAAAAAAAGAAAUGUUGUGUAGCAUUCAAGAAUGCGUACCCAUAUUACAUAUCUUCUCUUUUUAGUUGUGUUGUACGAAAUACCCUGCUUGUAUCGCAAUACCUCAUUUUACUAGUACCAGUACUUUAAGAAUGACAGCGUUUUAAUAAGAGCCGUAUUUCCUGAGUUGCACUGACGUGCGACAGCAAAGCAAUGUGUGUGCAUCACUCUGCUUCCUCUCCAUACAGGCAUACUGGCCGUGCCAAACUUUAUACAUAUCGGUUCAGUAGUAGUAUCAAGACAUUUUAGUCAAGUAGCUAUCGUACUAUCGAAGUCAUAAUUUUGGUAUCAUGACAACACUACUUUUUUGGCCACAUUCUAUACUGGGGUGCAUUUCCCAUACAACGACGUAACACGCUGCUCAACUGAAAUGAACUAGAUAGUCAUGACUGUUUCUCAAAACCGUAUUGUCACAAAUUUAUAAUAACUUUUAAUUAAUUUGGCAUCUGCGGACUCAUUAUUUUGCUUUAUUUCCAGAUUUAAUCAUAGGCUCCUUCUUACUUACUAGUGCACAUACACACAUGGACACUUCAAAAACGGCGCUUUAAAUCUCUUGACAAACUAAGACAUAAAUGAAAUUUUAUAUAUUCGAAAUUAAUGAUAUAGCUUGUACUGAAUGUCAGCUUGCUUAUUUUGCUCCAGAUAAGGAUUUAUUAAGGAUUUAAGAAACUAUGCUUCAAACCACAGGUCUGUGAUUCCAACCACACAACUUUGCGAUGCUGUUUGCAAAUGUUCGUUGGAACUAUGGUUUCAAGAAACACCAACUAACCGAUACUGAUAACAACAGAACUUGCGACCAUAGUUGGCUAACAAUGCUUUUGGGAAAUGCACUUCUGGCUGACAUAUUAUAAAAGGCUUCAAGGGCUAUAUACAAACUGACAUUUAUCUGAGCCACAAGUAAAUGAAAGAUAAGUAAAUGUAUCUAACUAUAGUUGUCCACAGGCACAAGUAAAGUCAAUUAAAGUGGUAAAAAAAAAAAAUGCAUAAAUUUAAUGCCAACAUUUCUUGCAAUUAAAAAUGAGACUUUGAAAAACUUUUCGUGAAAUUUAAAGACUUUUUCGUAUUUUUGAAAAGGACAGUGAACAUAGACAUUUUGUUAAAAUGAAGAUUCUAAUAUGUUAAUACAUUGAUAUUUGUCAUUCAACUGAACAAGGCAUGUCAACAAACUAAAUAAUGCUAUUUGUGAACAAAAAAAAAAAAAAAUCAAUGACUGCAUGAAAGGGGGGGAUGUUAUGAUAUGUUAAAUGUAAGCUGAUGUCAUAGCAUGGAGGUCUUUUACAGUUUCCUUUCGCCGUUUCUUGAGUUUCUUUGUUGAUCUGUAGACAUUUUAAUAACAGUUGUGUCAGUUGAACGAUUUGGAAUGACACUUAGUCACCACCAACUGGUGUAAUCAUGCAACUUACAGAAAGUCACUGAAUAAUUCAGCGAAGAAAUCCAAUGUUUUUAGUGUCACUGGGAUGAAACAAAAUUCCCACUUCAACGAACACAAAAUUAGUUCACAAAAAUGGCAAGAGCUGGAGAAAACUGACAGGGAUUUUAUUAGAAGACUGUGCCGGGCUGACUAUGCAUGCACAAACCAGCAUUGCUCUUUGAAACCACAAUCACCAGCACACAGACUUUGGACAAACUCCUGCCCCAAACAUUACACAUUCAUCCUGGUAUGAAUGGAGACCACAGAUUUUUGAUGGCUCUUCCCUUCACCAGGAUUCCUCACCUAUACCUUAACCAUAUUCUUUAAUAAAGUGCCCCUCUGGGUUUAUUUAAAAUUAUCUCAUUGUCUGCGCCUCAUCUGCUCCACUAUAACUACUGCGGGCAGCUGACACAAUGGAAAUAUUUCGUAAAUUUGCUGACAUCACUUCCCACAAGAAGAAACUGGCCAAGCAACUUGUUACCAGGCCAAAAGAUGACGGCGCACAAGAUCAUGCGUUAUGAGUGGAAACCAUGACAUGCACAUCGACGAGAAUAUUUUUGGUGCGCCAAAAAAAAAAAAAUAAAUAAAUAAAAUAACGACUUAUAUAGUGAUGGCCGAUUUCAAAACACUGCUUCAUGAAGCUUCAGAGCAUUAUGAAUCAGCGUGUCGAAUCAUGAUUCGGAUCGCGUGUUAAACCGCCAAACUGCUGAAAUCACAUGACUUUGGCGCUCCGAACCACUGAUUCGACACGCUGAUUCAUAACGCUCCGAAGCUUCAUGAAGCAGUGUUUUGAAAUCAGCCAUCACUAUGUAAGUCGUUAUUUUGUUUUUUUUGGAGCACCAGAAAUAUUCUCGUCACUUUAUAAUAUUAAUAUUGAACCACUGUACUCACAUGAACUGAUUUAAAUAUGUUUUUAGUACAUUAAUGGAUCUUGAGAGAGGAAACGUCAUUGCUGGCUAUGCAGGCCUCACUGAGCCAUCAGAUUUCAACAAAAAUAUUUUAAUUUGCGUUCCGAAGAUUAACGAAGGUCUUACGGCAUGAGGGUGAGUAAUAAAUGACAUUUUCAUUUUUGGGAAAACUAACCCUUUAAUAUUUUGCCUCUGACAAGUUGCUUAUGUCCGUCUAUUGUAAGUCGCUUUGGAUAAAAGCAUCUAAAAUCUAAAUUUGAAAUGUUCAACAGCUCCUCAAUUUCUCACCAAAGCAGAGCAGAAGCUUAUUCUUAUUCGGACAACUGGUACUUAAAACACAUUCCAAUUCAGUGCAAUCCAUUCAUCUCCAAGCUGAUGUCAGACCUACAGUAUGUAAAAUGUCAUGAGUAAGACAGCUUCGCAACUGGGUUUACAUUCAGAUGGCUUGGUGCAGUACUUCUCAUAUCGAUCCUGAAUAUAUCCCUUAUCAAUAACACUAUUCAGGUUUUCAGUCUCUACUAAUAAGCUGUCAGAGAUGAUGUGUUAAAUCAGGUGUGUCAGAUGAGGAAGACAUAAAAAAAUGUGUGGUGGUUAGGUAAUGCACCAGGUGAUGACUUAGGAUGGGUGUGACAGGGACAUUAUGCUCAUGUGUUGUUAAGCAUCAAGAAAAUAAAUCCUAUCAGUUUGCAUUUGAUUUAUUAAUCUCUUAAUUUUAAAAUUUGUUUUACUCCACAUAUAUAUUGCCAGAAUCUAGACAAAUAACAGGCUUUUCAAAUUUAAAUUAAAUUAAAUUAAAUUAAAUUAAAUUAAUUUAAUUCACAGUCAUGGACAAUUAAUUCAACCACUUUAAAUUUUUUUAUUAUUAUUUUAUUUUUAUUUUUAUUUUUUUUUAUUUUUGCAAUAGUUGUAAUUUUAGCAUGAAGGCUACAAAGUGAGUAAUAAAAUAUCCAUUAAUUAAUAAAUAACUAAACACAGCAUUAGUUGUAUCUAGGGCUGUCAUGAUGCCUCAAUUAAAUAUGAGUGCUCGACUUGAUUGCAAAUAA